CAGGCCUAACACAUGCAAGUCGAGCGGAAACGAGUUAUCUGAACCUUCGGGGAACGAUAACGGCGUCGAGCGGCGGACGGGUGAGUAAUGCCUAGGAAAUUGCCCUGAUGUGGGGGAUAACCAUUGGAAACGAUGGCUAAUACCGCAUAAUGCCUGCGGGCCAAAGAGGGGGACCUUCGGGCCUCCCGCGUCAGGAUAUGCCUAGGUGGGAUUAGCUAGUUGGUGAGGUAAGGGCUCACCAAGGCGACGAUCCCUAGCUGGUCUGAGAGGAUGAUCAGCCACACUGGAACUGAGACACGGUCCAGACUCCUACGGGAGGCAGCAGUGGGGAAUAUUGCACAAUGGGCGCAAGCCUGAUGCAGCCAUGCCGCGUGUGUGAAGAAGGCCUUCGGGUUGUAAAGCACUUUCAGUCGUGAGGAAGGUAGUGUAGUUAAUAGCUGCAUUAUUUGACGUUAGCGACAGAAGAAGCACCGGCUAACUCCGUGCCAGCAGCCGCGGUAAUACGGAGGGUGCGAGCGUUAAUCGGAAUUACUGGGCGUAAAGCGCAUGCAGGUGGUUUGUUAAGUCAGAUGUGAAAGCCCGGGGCUCAACCUCGGAAUAGCAUUUGAAACUGGCAGACUAGAGUACUGUAGAGGGGGGUAGAAUUUCAGGUGUAGCGGUGAAAUGCGUAGAGAUCUGAAGGAAUACCGGUGGCGAAGGCGGCCCCCUGGACAGAUACUGACACUCAGAUGCGAAAGCGUGGGGAGCAAACAGGAUUAGAUACCCUGGUAGUCCACGCCGUAAACGAUGUCUACUUGGAGGUUGUGGCCUUGAGCCGUGGCUUUCGGAGCUAACGCGUUAAGUAGACCGCCUGGGGAGUACGGUCGCAAGAUUAAAACUCAAAUGAAUUGACGGGGGCCCGCACAAGCGGUGGAGCAUGUGGUUUAAUUCGAUGCAACGCGAAGAACCUUACCUACUCUUGACAUCCAGAGAACUUUCCAGAGAUGGAUUGGUGCCUUCGGGAACUCUGAGACAGGUGCUGCAUGGCUGUCGUCAGCUCGUGUUGUGAAAUGUUGGGUUAAGUCCCGCAACGAGCGCAACCCUUAUCCUUGUUUGCCAGCGUGUAAUGUCGGGAACUCCAGGGAGACUGCCGGUGAUAAACCGGAGGAAGGUGGGGACGACGUCAAGUCAUCAUGGCCCUUACGAGUAGGGCUACACACGUGCUACAAUGGCGCAUACAGAGGGCGGCCAACUUGCGAAAGUGAGCGAAUCCCAAAAAGUGCGUCGUAGUCCGGAUUGGAGUCUGCAACUCGACUCCAUGAAGUCGGAAUCGCUAGUAAUCGUGGAUCAGAAUGCCACGGUGAAUACGUUCCCGGGCCUUGUACACACCGCCCGGCACACCAUGGGAGUGGGCUGCAAAAGAAGUAGGUAGUUUAACCUUCGGGGGGACGCUUACCACUUUGUGGUUCAUGACUGGGGUGAAGUCGUAACAAGGUAGCGCUAGGGGAACCUGGCGCUGGAUCACCUCCUU
rnacentral:rRNA from 1 species